rnacentral:lncRNA from 1 species
UAUGAUAGGUCAGUUAUUUUUCACUACUUUAUCCACACAUCCUUAGCUUCCUUCCUUUUCUUUUCCUUUUCCUUUUAUUGAAAAUAGAUUUUUUCUCAUAUAAUAUAUCCCCGGUUUCAGUUUCCCCUAUGUCUCCUCCUCCAAGUUUUCCCCCAAACCUUUUCUUCCAUAGGAAUCCACUCUCUUUCUGUCUCUCAUUAGAAAACAAACAGGCUCUUAAGGAAUAAUAGUUAAAUUAGAUAAAACAGAAUCUAAUGAGUGCGUCACUAUUUCUUGUACCUUUGUUUUUGGAACGUUCCCUUCUGUUUGUUUCAUCCAACUCCUAUGUCUUGAUUUCGUUAAUACAGAACUCAUGUGUCUCUCCUCAGUCAGGGCUGUGCCAAUGGACAAUGACAAUAGCCAUUCAAAAUAUUUUCUGCCAGUAUCUUUUCUGUAUUUUUAAAAUUUAUUUAUUUAUUUAUAUUCCAAAUGCAACGCCAAUCUCGGUCCUCUCUCAUGGGCCCCCCCCCCAAUCCUCUUCCCCUUCGUAGCUGAGAGGAUGUCCCCCCUCCCAUAUCUCCCUAUCCUGGUACAUCAAGUCUCUGCAGGAUUAGGUACAUCCUCUCCAACUGAGGCCAGACAAGACAGUCCUCUCCUACAUAUGAGCCUGGAACCUCGGAUCAGCCAGUGUUGGUUGGUAGCUCAGUCUUUGGGAACUCUCAAGGGUCCAGGUUAGUUGACACUUUGGUCUUCCUGUAGAGUUGCCGUCUCCUUCCGGCUUUCAAUCCUUCCCCUAACUCUUCCGCAGGGGGUCCUCAAACUUCCAUUCAAUGUU